rnacentral:rRNA from 1 species
GACGAACGCUGGCGGCGUGCCUAAUACAUGCAAGUAGAACGCUGAAGAGAGGAGCUUGCUCUUCUUGGAUGAGUUGCGAACGGGUGAGUAACGCGUAGGUAACCUGCCUGGUAGCGGGGGAUAACUAUUGGAAACGAUAGCUAAUACCGCAUAAAAUGGAUUAUCGCAUGAUAAUCCAUUGAAAGGUGCAAAUGAAUCACUACCAGAUGGACCUGCGUUGUAUUAGCUAGUUGGUGGGGUAACGGCUCACCAAGGCGACGAUACAUAGCCGACCUGAGAGGGUGAUCGGCCACACUGGGACUGAGACACGGCCCAGACUCCUACGGGAGGCAGCAGUAGGGAAUCUUCGGCAAUGGACGGAAGUCUGACCGAGCAACGCCGCGUGAGUGAAGAAGGUUUUCGGAUCGUAAAGCUCUGUUGUAAGAGAAGAACGAGUGUGAGAGUGGAAAGUUCACACUGUGACGGUAUCUUACCAGAAAGGGACGGCUAACUACGUG